GCUAGCAGCCAUAUCACCCUGCAGCCCAAGACUGGUUGCCCACUGAAGCUAAGCAGGGUUGAGCCUGGUCAGUACCUGGAUGGGAGACCUCCUGGGAAAACUAGGUUGCUGUUGGAA
rnacentral:rRNA from 1 species